rnacentral:rRNA from 1 species
GACGAACGCUGGCGGCGUGCUUAACACAUGCAAGUCGAACGGAAAGGCCUUUUCGGAGGUACUCGAGUGGCGAACGGGUGAGUAACACGUGGGUGAUCUGCCCUGCACUCUGGGAUAAGCCUGGGAAACUGGGUCUAAUACCGGAUAGGACCGCACUUUAGUGUGUGUGGUGGAAAGUUUUUUCGGUGUAGGAUGAGCCCGCGGCCUAUCAGCUUGUUGGUGGGGUAAUGGCCUACCAAGGCGGCGACGGGUAGGCGGACUGAGAGGUUGGUCGGCCACAUUGGGACUGAGGUACGGCCCAGACGCCUACGGGAGGCAGCAGUGGGGAAUAUUGCAAAAUGGGCGGGAGCCUGAUGCAGCGACGCCGCGUGGGGGAUGACGGCCUUCGGGUUGUAAACUCCUUUCGCCAGGGACGAAGCGUUUUGUGACGGUACCUGGAGAAGAAGCACCGGCUAACUACGUG